rnacentral:rRNA from 1 species
UACGUAGGGGGCUAGCGUUGUCCGGAAUCAUUGGGCAUAAAGCGCGUGUAGGCGGUCCGGUAAGUCCGCUGUGAAAGUCGGGGGCUCAACCCUCGGAUGCCGGUGGAUACUGUCGGGCUUGAGUACGGAAGAGGCGAGUGGAAUUCCCGGUGUAGCGGUGAAAUGCGCAGAUAUCGGGAGGAACACCAAUGGCGAAGGCAGCUCGCUGGGACGGUACUGACGCUGAGGAGCGAAAGCGUGGGGAGCGAACAGG